AGAGUUUGAUCCCGGCUCAGAAUCAACGCUGGCGGCGCGCUUAACACAUGCAAGUCGCACGAGAAAGCAGGAGCAAUCUUGUGAGUAAAGUGGCGUACGGGUGAGUAACACGUGGAUCAUCUACCUUUUAGUGGGGAAUACCCCCGGGAAACUGGGGACAAUACCGCAUAAGCUCGUAAGAGGAAAGCAGCAAUGCGCUGAAAGAGGAGUCCGCGGCUGAUUAGCUAGAUGGUGAGGUAAUGGCCCACCAUGGCAAAGAUCGGUAGCCGGCCUGAGAGGGCUCACGGCCACACUGGCACUGAAACACGGGCCAGACUCCUACGGGUCAGCAGUGGGGAAUCUUGCACAAUGGGGGAAACCCUGAUGCAGCGACGCCGCGUGAGCGAUGAAGCCCUUCGGGGUGUAAAGCUCUUUCGACGGGAACGAUAAUGACGGUACCCGGAGAAGAAGCUGCGGCUAACUACGUGCCAGCAGCCGCGGUAAUACGUAGGCAGCAAGCGUUGUUCGGAAUUACUGGGCGUAAAGAGUGUGUAGGCGGUGCUCUAAGUUUGGUGUGAAAUCUCCCGGCUCAACUGGGAGGGUGCGCCGAAGACUGGAGUGCUCGAGGGAUGGAGAGGUAAGCGGAAUUCCUGGUGUAGCGGUGAAAUGCGUAGAUAUCAGGAGGAACACCUGUGGUGUAGACAGCUUACUGGACAUCUUCUGACGCUGAGACACGAAAGCGUGGGUAGCAAACAGGAUUAGAUACCCUGGUAGUCCACGCCCUAAACGAUGCAUACUUGGUGUGAGCGAUUCAUUUCGUUCGUGCCGGAGCUAACGCGUUAAGUAUGCCGCCUGGGGAGUACGGUCGCAAGGCUGAAACUCAAAGGAAUUGACGGGGGCCCGCACAAGCGGUGGAGCAUGUGGUUCAAUUCGACGCAACGCGAAGAACCUUACCUGGGCUCGAACGGCUUAAGAACAACUGUGGAAACAUGGUCUUCCCGCAAGGGACUUGAGUCGAGGUGCUGCAUGGCUGUCGUCAGCUCGUGUCGUGAGAUGUUGGGUUAAGUCCCGCAACGAGCGCAACCCUUGUCCUGUGUUGCCACUCCCGCAAGGGAAGCACUCUCAGGAGACCGCCAGCGAUAAGUUGGAGGAAGGUGGGGAUGAUGUCAAGUCAUCAUGGCCUUUAUGUCCAGGGCUACACACGUGCUACAAUGGGCGGUACAAAGCGCUGCAAACCCGCGAGGGGGAGCUAAUCGCAAAAAACCGUCCUCAGUUCGGAUCGCAGGCUGCAACUCGCCUGCGUGAAGCUGGAAUCGCUAGUAAUGGCGCAUCAGAACGGCGCCGUGAAUACGUUCCCGGGCCUUGUACACACCGCCCGUCACAUCACGAAAGUGGAUUGUACUAGAAGUCCCAAUUUAACGGGCCCAAGGUAUGAUUCAUGAUUGGGGUGAAGUCGAAACAAGGUA
rnacentral:rRNA from 1 species